GACAAAGUGCACAGCUGGGUGCCAAACUAAUCCCCUGGUCAUGAACGGAUGACUGGACCUACCAGAAGGAGCAAAGCUUGUCAGGCAAGACCUCGGAAUAAAACCGUGUCAUGCGACACACGUACCAUUGUGACACCUCCUAAAUUGUUGCCAGUGCCUCCCUUGACUCCCAUGAAAAGGACACGCCAUCAUGACGCUUCUGAUAGUGACCCGAGUUACUGCCCUGAUGACACAGACGGCUUCAUCAGCAACGACAGGGACCAGCAAGACACGGCCUUCUUGUUCUGGGGACUGCUUUGGUAAAAAAAAAAAUGUUGGCAAUCGCUUUUUCUUAUAAAAAAGACUGAUUUAAUUUCUUUCUUUACACAAAAUGUAUGAAUUAUGUAUUUUCUUGGCUGGCUUCAUGGUUUGUUUCUGCCGUCUUCAUGGGCAAUGUCUCUCUCUAUGCUUUCUUCAGGGGCUGUCUGUUUCCCUGUCUAUUUGAUGGGCUGUCUUCAGGGGCUGUCUGUUUCCCUGUCUAUUUGAUGGGCUGUCUUCAGGGGAUGUCUGUUUCCCUGUCUAUUUGAUGGGCUGUCUUCAGGGGCUGUCUGUUUCCCUGUCUAUUUGAUGGGCUGUCUUCAGGGGCUGUCUGUUUCCCUGUCUAUUUGAUGGGCUGUCUUCAGGGGAUGUCUGUUUGCCUGUCUAUUUGAUGGGCUGUCUGUUUGCCUGUCUAUUUGAUGGGCUGUCUUCAGGGGAUGUCUAUUUGAUGGGCUGUCUUCAGGGGC
rnacentral:lncRNA from 1 species